UUUUAUUUUAUUUUAUUUUAUUUUAUUCCAACCUACUUCUCUCCCUCACCUAACACACAUCCACCUACUCCCUCUCUCACCCACCUACCCUCAAAGCUCAUCCGUCAUAGUUAUACUUAGCAAAUUUGUUAUUCAUCACUUCACACCAAUCACCCAAUACACUUUCAUUUUUUUUAAAGAGAGAGUUGAAGCUUCAUAACUUCAUCAGCCAACCAGUCAAACAUGAGCACAUAGAGUUCAAGUUCAGAGCACCACAAUCACCGAUUCAAGGCUUUAUGAACCAAGGGGAUUAGCGCUGCUUUCCCAAGACGAGUUUAUGUGAUUAUGAUCUUCAGGCUUUGCCUAUCCAGGUUGAGCAGCUGAUGGAAUGGAAUGAUGUUGAGCGGGUGUUCCUUUGAUCAUUUCAAGAAAUGUAACCUUGAGUAUACAUCUUCAUAUGUAUAUCUCACACGUUUUCCGCUGCAAAACACUUUGAUUAGGAUAGCUCUAUGUUAUGACGUUGUGAUACGUGUUAUUGGGUAACCCACCUUAAUCAGUUCUCAUUUAUGUGUAUGUUUUAUAAGUAUCCAAAUAAUCAUAUAUGAUCCUAGCAUUUUAUCUAUGAGUGACAUUUCCAUAUACUUUAAUGUUAAGUAAUUGUCCAUUUCCA